AGUGUCGGCUGAUAAACUGGCUGUCAAUUAGCGGGGAACUUUCACCGGUGAGCAGCUACACGCAGCACAAGUUGUUGAGAAGAUAAACGAUGGAGUGGCGCCAGCAGACCAGUGUCAGCUGUGCAGACGCCUUCAACGAGGCUCAACGCUGGAUUCAGGAAGUCACUGGAAAAUUGUUUGGUUGCAAUGACUUCCGUGCUGCCUUAGAGAACGGAGUCCUGCUUUGCGACUUGAUUAACCGGUUGAAACCCGGCAUCAUUAAGAGAGUAAACAGGCUUUCUACUCCCAUUGCUGGUCUGG